CGGGGGACAGGGUGACAGGUGGUGCAUGGUUGUCGUCAGCUCGUGUCGUGAGAUGUUGGGUUAAGUCCCGCAACGAGCGCAACCCUCGACCUUAGUUGCCAGCAUUCAGUUGGGCACUCUAAGGUGACUGCCGGCUAAAAGUCGGAGGAAGGUGGGGAUGACGUCAAAUCAUCAUGCCCCUUAUGACCUGGGCUACACACGUGCUACAAUGGGCGGUACAAAGGGUCGCGAACCCGCGAGGGGGAGCCAAUCCCAAAAAGCCGCUCUCAGUUCGGAUUGCAGGCUGCAACUCGCCUGCAUGAAGCCGGAAUCGCUAGUAAUCGCGGAUCAGCAUGCCCGCGGUCCGAAUACGUUCCGGGCCUU
rnacentral:rRNA from 1 species